GUAUUUUCGGCAAAAGUCGUCGACGUGGACCCAAAGGUCCGAAAGAUCUUUCGAUCUAAAAGUUUGUUCAAUCAACCAAAGUAAUGAAAUAGCUCUCUUCUUCAAAAUCCCCAAACAAAUUCAAAAUCUCUCCAUUCCAAACCAUUCCCUUUUGGGUUUGCUUUACCAGAGGAACGACGUCGUUGUAUCGCGAGAUGGCUAUUGCAUCUGAGGAAAUCACCAACAUAUGCAGUCACUGUGACAAAGCUAUCCCUUCCUCGAAUAUUGAUUUGCAUUUUGCUCAUUGUUCUCGGAAUCUUGAAAAGUGUAAAAUUUGUGGCGACAUGGUCCCAAAAAAGUAUGCUGAGGAACACUUCUUAAACACUCAUGCGCUGGUGGCCUGUUCGCUAUGCAGUGAGACAAUGGAGCGUGAAGUUCUAGCAAUUCAUAAAGUUGAAAAUUGUCCUCAAAGGAUAGUCACAUGUGAAUUCUGCGAAUUUCCAUUGCCUGCAAUUGAUCUAGCUGAGCAUCAGGAGGUAUGUGGGAACCGGACAGAACUUUGUCAUCUGUGUAAUAAAUAUAUUAGACUGCGAGAAAGAUACAACCAUGAGACUAGAUGCACUGGUGUGUCGGAUAAUAUUGUGGGAUCUUCCAGGGAUGUGAGGGAAGCUGAAGGAGCACCAGGUGCUCCAAUAAGGCAGCCACAUGAUUAUUCAAGGAGACGACUUCUAUUCACCAUUGCAAUAACAGGCAUUGCUGUUAUUCUAGGAUCACUUCUUUUCCAGAGGAAAACAGAGAAUAAUCAAGUGCAUUAGCGGCAGAGAAGGAGGAUGCGAGAAUUCUAAUAAAGAAUCAGCAACCAUGGUUGUUGGAGCUUCCCAAUCCAUUGGAAAUGUUGUAUUAUUUACAAUCUUUGCUCUUUCGAUCUUCAAGCAUCUUCUCUCUUGUAGCCAUAUCUAGUAUUGAUCUACAUGCUAGGCUGGUAGAAGAAGCUUUUUAUUUUUGAUGAGGCCACAUAGGUUGGUAGAUGACCCUCACAAAUUAGCAAAGACUCAGGGAAGGGGAAGGAAAUACUGAGUCAGAGCCAAGAGACAGUUAUCAGAGGUAGAUAGACUGACAGGGCAGCAGAUUAGGCUGCUAGUACUACACUGAGAGAUCAUCGGGUAUAUUGAGUAUACCAUAGUUUGCAUUUUGUAUUGUAAUAUAUGUUCACUGUAUGUAUAUAGUGUUCUUGGUUUUGAGCAGUUGUAAAUUAAAAUUAUACAUUGAAGUUAUAAAAUAAAUUGUAAAUUA